rnacentral:rRNA from 1 species
AUGCAUGGGGCUGCUAUAAUGCAGUCGAACGAGCUUCCGUUGAAUGACGUGCUUGCGCUGAUUUCAACAAUGAAGCGAGUGGCGAACUGGUGAGUAACACGUGGGAAAUCUGCCCAGAAACCUGGGAUAACACUUGGAAACACGUGCUAAUACCGUAUAACAACAAAAUCCGCAUGGAUUUUGUUUGAAAGGUGGCUUCGGCUAUCACUUCUGGAUGAUCCCGCGGCGGAUUACUUAGUUGGUGAGGUAAAGGCCCACCUAGACGAUGAUACGUAGCCGACCUGAGAGGCUAAUCGGCCACAUUGGGACUGAGACACGGACCGAACUCCUACGGGAGGUACCACUAGGGAAUCUUCCACAAUGGACGAAAGUCUGAUGGAGCAAUGCCGCGUGAGUGAAGAAGGGUUUCGGGUCGGAAAACUCUGUUGUUAAAGAAGAACACCUUUGAGAGUAACUGUUCGAGGGUUGACGGUAUUUAACCAGAAAGCCACGGCUAACUACGUGCCAGCAGCCGCGGCAAUACGUAGGUGGCAAGCGUUGUCCGGAUUUAUUGGCCGUAAAGUGAGCGCAGGCGGUUUUUUAAGUCUGAUGUGAAAGCCUUCGGCUUAACCGGAGAAUUGCAUCGGAAACUGGGAGACUUGAUUGCAGAAUAGGACAGUGAAACUCCAUGUGUAGCGCCGUAAUGCGUAGAUAUAUGGAAGAACACCUGUGACAAAGGCGGCUGUCUAGUCUGUUACUGACGCUGAGGCUCGAAAGCAUGGUCAGCGAACAGGAUUAGAUACCCUGGUAGACCCUGUCGUAGACGAUGACUGCUAAGAGUUGGAGGGUUUCCGCCCUUCAGUGCUGCAUCUAACGCAUUAAGUACUCCGUCUGGGGAGUACGACCGCAAGGUUGACACUCAAAGGAAUUGACAGGGGACCGCACAAGCGCCGGAGCAUGUGGUGUAAUUCGAAGCUACACUAAAACCUUACCAAGGACUUGACAUCUUCUGUGAAUCUUACAGAUAAGACGUUCCCUUUCGGGACAGCAUUGACAGAUGUGCAUGGUGUCGUCAUGCUCUUGUCGUGAGACGUUGGCGUUAAAUUCCCGCAACGAGUGCCACCACUUAUUUAUCAGCCUGUCCAGCAUUUCC